ACGCUCGACACCUACGGGAAGCAGCAGUGGGGAAUAUUGCACAAUGGGGGAAACCCUGAUGCAGCGACGCCGCGUGGAGGAAGAAGGUCUUCGGAUUGUAAACUCCUGUUGUUGGGGAAAGAGAGGAUGGUACCCAACAAGGAAGUGACGGCUAACUACGUGCCAGCAGCCGCGGUAAUCUGAGCGGGCUGGCAAGGC
rnacentral:rRNA from 1 species